rnacentral:rRNA from 1 species
UACGGAGGAUGCAAGCGUUAUCCGGAAUGAUUGGGCGUAAAGCGUCCGCAGGUGGCUAUGUAAGUCUGCUGUUAAAGAGUGAGGCUCAACCUCAUAAGAGCAGUGGAAACUACAUGGCUAGAGUGCGUUCGGGGCAGAGGGAAUUCCUGGUGUAGCGGUGAAAUGCGUAGAUAUCAGGAAGAACACCGGUGGCGAAAGCGCUCUGCUAAGCCGCAACUGACACUGAGGGACGAAAGCUAGGGGAGCGAAUGGG